rnacentral:lncRNA from 1 species
CAAGAAUAAAAAUAUUUUAUUGAACUGCUAAAUAUUCAUGUUCACAAUUAUGUUUGAUUUCUUAGAAUAUUCUGUAAUUGCAAGACUACAUAGCCUACAUGAAGUUAUAGCAAAGCUUAUUGUAAAGAAUCAAAAACUUUUAAUUUUUAGAGCUUGAUAUUUGUGUUAUAUGUUCUAUAGGUGGUAAUUAGCUAGUCAGCUGAAAAAUAAAAUACAAUGCUUGUUAACCAACACUGCUUUUAAAUAGAAAUAACUACAGUUGCUGUUAAUGAUUCUAUUUUCUACAUGUUCCAAAAAAAAUUAUAUAAUAUGUGUAUCUAUCAUUUAAAAUUAGACAAUAAAACAAACAUCUAAUUUCCAAGGAUGAAAUUUGAGAUAAAUUUGCUUCAUAAAUAAUUAUUUUCAUGAUGAUUAGCGGAAAUUCUGUAAUUUACUAAGACUAAAAGUAGCAUUUUCUUGAUUUAACAAAUUUCAUGUAUAUGUAAAAAUGAUGAUUAGAACGUGUCCUGGUUUGAAAGUUUAGUUUCAAUAAAAAAUACACUAGAAAAGAAUAUAUUCUAUCCAACCUCCUUGGAAUGACAGAGUGCAUUUGAUUUUAUUCUUUAUAUUUGUUUUUUUUACAUAGCAACUGAAUUCUUAUCAAAAUUUAAAAAAAAACAUAAGUUCAGGCAUAAGGGGCAUUAUCUUGAUACCAAGUAAGUGCUUUCUUGGCCAAGGUUUGACAGUGAUGUUUUUUUUUCAUUUUAAACAGAAAGUACCAGAAUAGUAGAAUGUUAAAUAUAAGAAAGUAAUGACAAUUAAAGCAGAAUACUUUGCUACAUUUGCUUUAAAUCUUUAGUUUGUUAUAAUUAUUACUAGGAAAUACAACACCACUGUUUUAAAUAAGAAAUGAUAAAAACUCAGAGAUAUUUUAUCAGAUUAUGCUUAUAAACAUCUUAUCUGUUCUUUUCAAUUUUUAAGUGAAUCUAUC